UGAGUUACUACACGCCAAGAUGUGAUACACCAUGUGCUAGCACGUGCUUGGACGGCACAUGCGACGCUACGGGGGGCUGUCCAGAUUGCAAGAGAAGCCCCGUGGGACUGAACUGUCGAGUUCAGCCGGUUUCGUCCUCUACGGAUUCGAACAAUCCUGAUACACAUAACGAUAGCAAGCCAUUACCUGCGGCAGCAGUGGGAGGAUCAGUCGGUGGAUUUG